rnacentral:rRNA from 1 species
AGGUUAACGAGGCGAACCGGGGGAACUGAAACAUCUAAGUACCCCGAGGAAAAGAAAUCAACCGAGAUUCCCCCAGUAGCGGCGAGCGAACGGGGAGCAGCCCAGAGUCUGAAUCAGCUUGUGUGUUAGUGGAAGCGUCUGGAAAGUCGCACGGUACAGGGUGACAGUCCCGUACACGAAAGCACACAGGCUGUGAACUCGAAGAGUAGGGCGGGACACGUGGUAUCCUGUCUGAAUAUGGGGGGACCAUCCUCCAAGGCUAAAUACUCCUGACUGACCGAUAGUGAACCAGUACCGUGAGGGAAAGGCGAA